rnacentral:rRNA from 1 species
GUCCACGCCGUAAACGAUGGAUACUAGCUGUUGGGGCAACUUCAGUGGCUAAGCGAAAGUGAUAAGUAUCCCACCUGGGGAGUACGGGCGCAAGCCUGAAACUCAAAGGAAUUGACGGGGCCCGCACAAGCGGUGGAGCAUGUGGUUUAAUUCGAUGAUACGCGAGGAACCUUACCAAGGCUUAAAUGUAGAUUGACCGGUUUGGAAAACAGACUUUUCGCAAAGACAAAUUUACAAGGUGCUGCAUGGUUGUCGU